CCUACGGGAGGCAGCAGUGAGGAAUAUUGGACAAUGGGCGCAAGCCUGAUCCAGCCAUGCCGCGUGCAGGAAGAAGCAUCUAUGGUGUGUAAACUGCUUUUGUACAGGAAGAAACACUCCCUCGUGAGGGAGCUUGACGGUACUGUAAGAAUAAGGACCGGCUAACUCCGUGCCAGCAGCCGCGGUAAUACGGAGGGUCCGAGCGUUAUCCGGAAUCAUUGGGUUUAAAGGGUCCGUAGGCGGUUUAAUAAGUCAGUGGUGAAAUCUGGUCGCUCAACGAUCAAACGGCCAUUGAUACUGUUAGACUUGAAUUAUAAGGAAGUAACUAGAAUAUGUAGUGUAGCGGUGAAAUGCUUAGAUAUUACAUGGAAUACCAAUUGCGAAGGCAGGUUACUACUUAUGGAUUGACGCUGAUGGACGAAAGCGUGGGGAGCGAACAGGAUUAGAUACCCUGGUAGUCCACGCCGUAAACGAUGGAUACUAGCUGUUCGGAGCAAUCUGAGUGGNGUAGACGAAGUAGAGUAAGUAAGUACCACCGUCGGGAGGUAACGGUUACGUCGAAGAAAGUAGAAACGUUAACGAAAGGAAAGUUAGUUACGGCGUUGAGACGAGCCGACGGACGACGACGAGGGGAGGAGGAGG
rnacentral:rRNA from 1 species